AAAAAUCAUAAAAAAACUAUUUCAUAAUUGAAAAAUUAAAUUACAAAAUUGUUAUUCGAUUAAAUUAAUUACUGAAUAGGUUAUGCAACAAAGGCUGUAUCCUAGUCGGGUUGCAGUCAACUAGUCAGACUGACAACAUUCCGAAUUAAGGGCGGGGUAAGGGUUUUUCACUUUCGAAAAAUCGAUUUUUUUUUGUUUUAUCUUAUUGUUUAACAUUUCAAGAAUAUGUCCUCAAAAUUUUAAUCCGAUCUAAGCAAUAUUCUUGAAGUUAUUUUUUAAUUAGUCUCGGGGCCUUUAACGCUCUAACUCUAACAGCUACGGGCGGUUGGGAUUGCAGUGCAGCUGUCGAGCAGGUAUACAGGUUAUUCAUUGCUAUUGUCCUGAUCCCAUAUCCAGUUUUAGAAAUAUUUCAUUUAGUAAAGCCAGGGAGUGCUAGUGUACCGGAAGAUGUUGAAAAACAUUUUAGAAUCAUAGAUUUUUUGCUUGUGUUUUCAACCAUCGCAAGUUUAGUAAAAUGUGCUCAGUGUGAUGGUUCAAUCGAGUUCAAGAGCUGUAAAAAAGAAGGACUCGGCUUCCAAAUCCAAGUCAAAUGUACAAAUUGUGAUCCACGCUUUAUACCGUCGAGUGAGAAAACUGGUCAUUGCUAUGAAAUUAACACUCGUUUUGCCUUUGUAAUGCGUACAUUAGGUUUGGAUUUAGCAGGCUGCAAUAAAUUUUGCGGGCUCAUGGACAUAGCAAGUAGUUUUUUAUCAAAACAAUCUUAUUUGGAUCUCAUGAAAUCUAUUUGCUGCAGCAUCGAAACGACUGCUGAGAAAUUUCUUGUCUCCGCCGCAGACGAAGAAAAACAGCUAACACGUGCAAAUUCGGAGUCAAACACUUUGACCGUUUCUGUUAAAUUUGCAUUUUAUGUAGCUGCAUGCACAUUCAAUGAAGGUGCUGGUGCUCUUCUAACUUUUCUGUCUGACAUGGACGUCAGUGUCGGCCCAAGCGCUCACGAGUAUGCAUCAUCUACGGACAGCAAUCACAUUGAUAGGGCCGAGUUCCAAGCUGUGCAGCAGAGCAAAGAAGCCAGAAUAAAACGAAGACUUGAAAAAAAAACAGGCUGAAGACAUCGACAAUGCUGAAGGAUGUGUGCUGUAUGGAGCUGGAAUUGAUGAUUCUGUAUAAUUUCCGGCCGAGUUACAGUGAACACCGCAAAUUGUUUUUUUUUUCAAGACGUCCGGGGGGAAGCUCUGUCACGGGCUAAUGGUUUAAUAUUUUUGCAUGAAAAAUUUACAGAACAUAGUCAAAACUAUGCUCAAUAAUGUAUAGAAGGUUUGAAUAAAAUUGCUCAAUCGAGAUUUGAGAUAAAAAAUCACAAAAAAAGUGUU